UGGCUUUGACCCCGACCUACUUAUCUGGGAUGCCAAGAUCAUUUUCUGCAAACCCUUCUCUAUGGAGGACUUCAUUGCAGUUGGCUGGAAUAGUUGGAAGCAAAGGAAUGUGAGGAACGGCCACAUGAAAGAAGUCAUGUGAACAUAUCAGACAUGGCUGCCUGAUAGAACAUUCUUCUGAACAAAGCAGGUUGUACAAGGACUACAAACAAAGUACUCCCUCCAUUCCUAAAUAUAAGUCUUGUUAGAAGAUUUCAAUAUGGACUACAUAUGGUGGAAAUGGGUGAAUCUCACUCUAAAAUCCGUCUAUAUACAUCUGUAUCUAAUCCACACUGAAAAUCUCUAAAAAGACUUAUAUUUGGAAACAGAGGGAGUAGUUUCUUAUCAACAUGCUGAACCCAAAAAAUGUCACGAAGAAGAAGAAAAGAAAGAUCAUCUGCAGCAUCAGUUUCAAACUUUUCUAUCGCUUGGCUCGCAGCAACUCAUGUGCAAUGUCAUGAGCAUUACCAAAUUAAUGAGCUAGAGCAUUUAUCAGUAAGGAGAAAAGUGAUGUACCAGGCUCCAAUCAGCCUCCUGGAAUGAGGUCAGGAACUAUCCAACUACAGAUCAAGAUGCAUACAGUGCGACAUCCAUACGCCACCAAGAAGUAGUCAUUCGCCAAUCCAGCGGCAGUGACACCCUCCUCCGAGACACUCUGGGCGAGCGGCUUUCGUUUAGCUGCUUCUUUUACUCAUGUUUUCCAUUGCCCAUUCAAAUUGCUC
rnacentral:lncRNA from 1 species